rnacentral:misc_RNA from 1 species
AAAUGCGAUAAGUAAUGUGAAUUGCAGAAUUCAGCGAAUCAUCGAAUCUUUGAACGCACCUUGCGCUCCUUGGUAUUCCUUGGAGCAUGCCUGUUUGAGUAUCAUGAAAUCUUCAAAGUAAAUCUUUUGUUAACUCAAUUGGUUUCUACUUUGGUAUUGGAGGUCUUUGCAGCUUCACACCUGCUCCUCUUUGUUCAUUAGCUGGAUCUCAGUGUUAUGCUUGGUUCCACUCGGCGUGAUAAGUUAUCUAUCGCUGAGGACACUGUAAAAGGUGGCCAAGGUAAAUGCAGAUGAACCGCUUCUAAUAGUCCAUUGACUUGGACAAUACUUUUAUGAUCUGAUCUCAAAUCAGGUAGGACUACCCGCUGAACUUAAGC